rnacentral:rRNA from 1 species
UAGGGAAUCUUCGGCAAUGGACGGAAGUCUGACCGAGCAACGCCGCGUGAGUGAAGAAGGUUUUCGGAUCGUAAAGCUCUGUUGUAAGAGAAGAACGAGUGUGAGAGUGGAAAGUUCACACUGUGACGGUAUCUUACCAGAAAGGGACGGCUAACUACGUGCCAGCAGCCGCGGUAAUACGUAGGUCCCGAGCGUUGUCCGGAUUUAUUGGGCGUAAAGCGAGCGCAGGCGGUUAGAUAAGUCUGAAGUUAAAGGCUGUGGCUUAACCAUAGUACGCUUUGGAAACUGUUUAACUUGAGUGCAAGAGGGGAGAGUGGAAUUCCAUGUGUUNCGGUGAAAUGCGUAGAUAUAUGGAGGAACACCGGUGGCGCGAAAGCGGCUCUCUGGCUUGUAACUGACGCUGAGGCUCGAAAGCGUGGGGAGCAAACAGGAUUAGAUACCCUGGUAGUCCACGCCGUAAACGAUGAGUGCUAGGUGUUAGACCCUUUCCGGGGUUUAGUGCCGCAGCUAACGCAUUAAGCACUCCGCCUGGGGAGUACGACCGCAAGGUUG